UUCCAGGAAAAGCCUCUAAGCAUCAGGUAACAUCAAAUCGUACCCCAAACCGACACAGGUGGUCAGGUAGAGAAUACCAAGGCGCUUGAGAGAACUCGGGUGAAGGAACUAGGCAAAAUGGUGCCGUAACUUCGGGAGAAGGCACGCUGAUAUGUAGGUGAAGUCCCUCGCGGAUGGAGCUGAAAUCAGUCGAAGAUACCAGCUGGCUGCAACUGUUUAUUAAAAACACAGCACUGUGCAAACACGAAAGUGGACGUAUACGGUGUGACGCCUGCCCGGUGCCGGAAGGUUAAUUGAUGGGGUCAGCGCAAGCGAAGCUCUUGAUCGAAGCCCCGGUAAACGGCGGCCGUAACUAUAACGGUCCUAAGGUAGCGAAAUUCCUUGUCGGGUAAGUUCCGACCUGCACGAAUGGCGUAAUGAUGGCCAGGCUGUCUCCACCCGAGACUCAGUGAAAUUGAACUCGCUGUGAAGAUGCAGUGUACCCGCGGCAAGACGGAAAGACCCCGUGAACCUUUACUAUAGCUUGACACUGAACAUUGAGCCUUGAUGUGUAGGAUAGGUGGGAGGCUUGGAAGUGUGGACGCCAGUCUGCAUGGAGCCGACCUUGAAAUACCACCCUUUAAUGUUUGAUGUUCUAACGUUGACCCGUAAUCCGGGUUGCGGACAGUGUCUGGUGGGUAGUUUGACUGGGGCGGUCUCCUCCUAAAGAGUAACGGAGGAGCACGAAGGUUGGCUAAUCCUGGUCGGACAUCAGGAGGUUAGUGCAAUGGCAUAAGCCAGCUUGACUGCGAGCGUGACGGCGCGAGCAGGUGCGAAAGCAGGUCAUAGUGAUCCGGUGGUUCUGAAUGGAAGGGCCAUCGCUCAACGGAUAAAAGGUACUCCGGGGAUAACAGGCUGAUACCGCCCAAGAGUUCAUAUCGACGGCGGUGUUUGGCACCUCGAUGUCGGCUCAUCACAUCCUGGGGCUGAAGUAGGUCCCAAGGGUAUGGCUGUUCGCCAUUUAAAGUGGUACGCGAGCUGGGUUUAGAACGUCGUGAGACAGUUCGGUCCCUAUCUGCCGUGGGCGCUGGAGAACUGAGGGGGGCUGCUCCUAGUACGAGAGGACCGGAGUGGACGCAUCACUGGUGUUCGGGUUGUCAUGCCAAUGGCACUGCCCGGUAGCUAAAUGCGGAAGAGAUAAGUGCUGAAAGCAUCUAAGCACGAAACUUGCCCCGAGAUGAGUUCUCCCUGACUCCUUGAGAGUCCUGAAGGAACGUUGAAGACGACGACGUUGAUAGGCCGGGUGUGUAAGCGCAGCGAUGCGUUGAGCUAACCGGUACUAAUGAACCGUGAGGCUUAACCUU
rnacentral:rRNA from 1 species